rnacentral:rRNA from 1 species
AUGGCUUCUUGAGAAAAUAAGAAGUCUGGCCUGCUCACUGAGGGUUAAAGAGCUGCAGUAUUAUGACUGUACAAAGGUAGCACAAUCAUUAGUCUUUUAAUUGGGGGCUGGAAUGAAGGGUUUUACGGGGGUUUUCUGUCUUUUAGGCUAUGAGAGGUGAAAUUAUUUUUUCUGUAAAAAAGCAGAAAUGAGGGCAAGGGACAAGAAGACCCUUUCAAACUUUAUUCGGCGGGAGGUGUUUGUGUAAAGGAUAUAAAUAACAUUUUUUGUUGGGUUUCGCUGGGGCGGCGGGUGUAAAAUGAUCACCACAUAAAAAUAAAUGGGCUUAUCAGCUAGGGGUGAGAGCCUGGGGGAAGGCUGAAGGAAAAAGUUACUGGAGGGAUAACAGCGUUAUAGGACCUGAGAGUUCAUAUUGACGGUUUGGUUUGCGA